CUUGCUGCUCAUGAGUAGAGAAAUGCAACACUAAUGUUUGCUGUUUUACUUUUUUUUUAACUAACUAGGAGGAAGAACACCGGUUUAUUCAGCGCUCCAUCUUACAUGAAGCUGUGAGGGAACGUGAGAAUGUAAAAGGGGCUGAUAUUUAUCUACCACCCCCACCACCAACGUUUUUCCAAAACUUUUCUCAUCCCUGUUCAGGACCUUCGGCUGGAGACGCCGCUUCCUGGCUCUUCAACUGCCGUGGAUGUUGUUGCCACAGAAACAGCACAGUGUUGACAUCACAGUGCUUCAAGUGAUCUGCUGUGGAGACCAAAAAGCCGAAGCCAGAUCACCACCCGACUCCUCGGAGAUUUGCGAGAAGCUGUUGGCCUCCAGCUCUGGACACAAGCUGAAACAUGCAUGAAACACAGAAGAUAAAAAAAAUAAUAAUAAAGCAUACACCCACACACCCACACACACAUAUGCUUACACCCUUGUGUUUUGGAGAGAAGAUA